rnacentral:rRNA from 1 species
GACGAACGCUGGCGGCGUGCUUAACACAUGCAAGUCGAACGCUGAAGCUUGGUGCUUGCACUGGGUGGAUGAGUGGCGAACGGGUGAGUAAUACGUGAGUAACCUGCCCUUGACUCUGGGAUAAGCCUGGGAAACUGGGUCUAAUACUGGAUACGACAUGUCACCGCAUGGUGGUGUGUGGAAAGGGUUUUACUGGUUUUGGACGGGCUCACGGCCUAUCAGCUUGUUGGUGGGGUAAUGGCUCACCAAGGCGACGACGGGUAGCCGGCCUGAGAGGGUGACGGGCCACACUGGGACUGAGACAAGGCCCAGACUCCUACGGGAGGCAGCAGUGGGGAAGAUUGCACAAUGGGCGGAAGCCUGAUGCAGCGACGCCGCGUGAGGGAUGACGGCCUUCGGGUUGUAAACCUCUUUCAGCACGGAAGAAGCGAAAGUGACGGUACGUGCAGAAGAAGCGCCGGCUAACUACGUG